rnacentral:tRNA from 1 species
AUGGCCAUGUCACUACUGGUUUUCUAUAAAAAUAUCCUAUCCAUACUGGAUAGUCAUA